rnacentral:rRNA from 1 species
UACCCGAAGGGAGAGUGUUUUCAACUCGAUUUUAGAGUGAGCGCGUUGUUGGGGUUGGGGUUGGGACGACGACGGCUCGUUUUUAGGGGUAGGGGAAGGGAAAAGGAAGGGGUGUUUAGUUAGUUUGGGAGGUAGUUAGUGCGCCGCGCGGAGGUUCAGGUUCUAAGCUAAAACGAAGACACAUCCCCUCCCCUCCCCUCCCUUCUCCUCCGCUAGGUCCCUCCCUUGUACCUAGUCGUCCUCCUCCUUCGCAGGCAGAGGCAGUCGCAGUCGCAGUCGCAAGGUAGGAGCAACGUAGACCUCCUCCUCCUCCUCCUCCUCCUCCUCCUCCUCCUCCUCCUCCUCGUCCUACUUCUUCUCCUUCUGGUUGUUCUGUACCGAGGCCACUUCUACCGCGACCCGGGAGUCCAAGGGGAGUUCCUGGAGGAGGUGGAGGUGUUCCUCCUCCUCCUCCCCCUCCUACUCUCGGAGGCAUCUACCUUCCUCGUCGAGGAGCCUGGUCUACGACAGGUGUGGUGUUUGGAGGAGGUACGGGAACCUCGUCUCUGGCAGCUUGGCCUCCACUGGUAUGAGUUGGAGUGGUAGGAGCGUGGUCCCUCCGGACUGGACGAAGACGGCUAUGGGAAGCACGGGCUACUGUUCCCGGUGCGGAAGCGCGAGUUCCUGCCGACGCGUAUGUCGAAGGCGAAGAGGAAGCGGCAGAGGUUGUUGUAGCACAGGCCAGAGUUCAUGAGUGUGUGGCAGACCUUCUGGCCUCAAUUUCACCUCUUGGUCUUCCACUACGACCCCUGUAAGUCGGGAGUCGUCCUCGGGAUGUGCAUGUUCCGACUCCUUCUAUCGUGGGGCUCGCCGUAGAAACGUUCCCCAAGGAUAAGACGGUCUAAUUUCAAACACCUACUACUACCCUUCCACAUGGACCUGUACUCCAUGUCGAAACUCUAGUCCUUCCUGACCGGAUUAAUUGUCUGUUGUUCUGGCUGAGUCAGUCGGUCAUCUUCACUCUGGUGGAUUGGAUGGGUCCCAAGCAGCGUUUCUACUCUACUCUACUCUACCCUACUUACUUACAAUCAAAUCCAAGACGCCACAGUACCCCUACAACUAUCGACAAUCCACUAACUACAAAGAACACACCAUAGAAAGUCCCUACAACUAAGUGAGCGAGCGAAACGAACCGAACGUUACUUCUUCCACUUUCUGAACUCAUGGACUGGACCAAACUUUCACACACAGACUUAAACGUACGUAAUCAAUCGAUAAGAAGUACCGGGCAUCUAAGGGAGCUUGCGACUAUCACUAUCUACACAGACAAAGGACUUACCUUACAAACCCAUUACACUUGGUUUAACAAAGGACUUGGUGAAUUGCACGUCUGAAAACAUCUCCUCUUCCUUAGUCGUUAAAAAUCAUGUUAUAUUUAACAUCAUUUUUCACUGACAAACAUGGUAACAAACGACUGACAAAGU